AACGAACGCUGGCGGCAUGCCUAACACAUGCAAGUCGAACGAGACCUUCGGGUCUAGUGGCGCACGGGUGCGUAACGCGUGGGAACCUGCCCUUAGGUUCGGAAUAACUCCCCGAAAGGGGUGCUAAUACCGGAUAAUGUCUUCGGACCAAAGAUUUAUCGCCUUUGGAUGGGCCCGCGUUGGAUUAGCUAGUUGGUAGGGUAAAAGCCUACCAAGGCGACGAUACAUAGCUGGUCUGAGAGGAUGAUCAGCCACACUGGGACUGAGACACGGCCCAGACUCCUACGGGAGGCAGCAGUGGGGAAUAGUGGACAAUGGGCGAAAGCCUGAUCCAGCAAUGCCGCGUGAGUGAUGAAGGCCUUAGGGUUGUAAAGCUCUUUUACCCGAGAUGAUAAUGACAGUACCGGGAGAAUAAGCUCCGGCUAACUCCGUG
rnacentral:rRNA from 1 species